rnacentral:rRNA from 1 species
ACGCACGCUGGCGGCAUGCCUCACACCUGCCAGUCGAACGAGACCUUCGGGUCUAGUGGCGCACGGGUGCGUAACGCGUGGGAACCUGCCCUUAGGUUCGGAAUAACUCCCCGAAAGGGGUGCUAAUACCGGAUAAUGUCUUCGGACCAAAGAUUUAUCGCCUUUGGAUGGGCCCGCGUUGGAUUAGCUAGUUGGUAGGGUAAAAGCCUACCAAGGCGACGAUCCAUAGCUGGUCUGAGAGGAUGAUCAGCCACACUGGGACUGAGACACGGCCCAGACUCCUACGGGAGGCAGCAGUGGGGAAUAUUGGACAAUGGGCGAAAGCCUGAUCCAGCAAUGCCGCGUGAGUGAUGAAGGCCUUAGGGUUGUAAAGCUCUUUUACCCGGGAUGAUAAUGACAGUACCGGGAGAAUAAGCUCCGGCUAACUCCGUG